UUUUUUUUUUACUUUUAAAAAUAAAGAGGUAGAAAGUGGGGAACCUUGCUUUUCUGGGCAUUGGGUCAAGACCACACAGAGCGUGGGAGCAAUGGCAGCUGGCUGGGGCUGGCUAAGGCCGCACUCCCUUUGCUCUGCCUUUGGCCAUAACCACUAGACCGCACGUUUGCACUAUUUUCCAAAUAACCAAAAGGGAAGACUUUUAAAACCAUACUAGAACAUAACUUUGUUUUUAGGAUGUGUUUACUUGUUCUGGUAAAGGUCAUGGGGCAGGAUUUUGGGGAACACAACUAAAAAGAAUGCAGUAAAACUGGCAUCAUAAGCUCUCUCAAUUUGACCACAUUUGAGCCCAGUUCAGCAAAUCCAAAGAUACAUUUUCAAAAAUGCAUAUCCUGUUUCACACCUCACCACAAAGCAAACAACCUAAUUUGCAGACUUUCUAAUACUCAUAAUGCCUCUAGGUCCUCCUGUCAACAUGUGUUUUUAAAUAUCAUCUUUGAUUUGAUCACUAACAAAUAUUACCACUUUCUGGUUUUU
rnacentral:lncRNA from 10 species